CCCUCUGUCGCCAGAGCUUGAGUCUAGGGUCUGACAGCAAGCACAGGAUGUGCUGAGUGGGAAAGAGAAUCAGAAGAUCUCGCGGAGACUGUGCGAGGAUUUCCCCCUUGACCCACAUAGCUAAGGACUGCCUCCCUCAUAAGCGAAGGCUGAAAGAAACCACUCAAAGAAACCAAAUGGAAAAAGUCAACUCUGUGUCCCCAAAUGCCAUUGCCUGUACCCAAAGCCAAUAGAGAUGUUUAUUUGCUUAAAGAAAAACUUAGGGUGCCUCGUGAAGCUAUUCGAAAACACAGAUGCCCGGGCUCCGUUCCCAGCCUGCGGAAUCAGAACCAUCGGGAGGCGCUACUUCUCCUCCGGACUAGCCUCAAACCCAGAUUUUCCCAAACCCCAAAGCUCCCAGACCAUUUAACAGCUCACCUUUCCAGUUGGAAGAAAACUAAUGCCUUUCCACUUGAACUUCAGUGAAAAACUUCAUUGUCUAGAGCACACUCCUCCAGGGUAUCUGACUCUAGUGUUUCAUUGACUCUGAGCUAUUUUACAAAUAGCUAAUUGGUCGCAAUGCAAAAAAAAUUCUUGUCUAUAAACAUGCAUAUUAUGUUCUGUCUAGUAGAAAGUCAAUUGAUUUUGCUUUCCCUCUGUAAAAACAAAAACAAAAUAAAACAAAACAAAUUUGCCUCCAUUUGCACAUUUAUUUCAUUAUUCCUGGUCUACAAAUGGGUCUGUUCUUCAUAUUCUUUUUUGAACCUAUUAUAAUAUCUGCUUGAUUUCUUCAAUGAUCAUUGAGUUAAAGAAAAUCUUGAACAUGUUCAUUUUAUAUCUAUAUGAGAGUUUCUUUCUUUUUUUUUUUUUUUUUAGAUGGGAGUCUUGCUGUCUAUCCCAGGCGUGGUGGCACGUGCCUGUAAUCCCACCUACUUGGGAGGCUGAGGCAGGAGAAUCGCUUGAACCCGAGAGGCAGAGGUUGCAGUGAGCCGAGACUGGGCCACUGCACUCUAGCCUGGGAUAGAGAGCGAGACUCUCACCCCAGCCUCCCAAGUAGCUGGGACUGCAGGCACGCACCACCACACCCAGCUAAUUUUUGUGUUUUUUGUAGAGAUAGGGGUCUCCCUAUGCUGCCCAGGCUGGUUUUGAACUACUGGGCUCAAGCAAUCCUCCUGCCUCAGCCUCCCAAAAUGCUGGGAUUACAGGUGUGAGCCACCAAGCCUAGCCUGUGUAUUAUUUUUAUAAUCAGAAAAAAACAGUUCUUAAAAUCACUGGGAAGGUG
rnacentral:lncRNA from 1 species